UAGGGAAUCUUCCGCAAUGGGCGAAAGCCUGACGGAGCCACGCCGCGUGAGUGAUGAAGGUCUUCUGAUCGUAAAACUCUGUUAUUCGGGAAGAACAAAUGUGUAAGUAACUAUGCACGUCUUGACGGUACCUAAUCAGAAAGCCACGGCUAACUACGUGCCAGCAGCCGCGGUAAUACGUAGGUGGCAAGCGUUAUCCGGAAUUAUUGGGCGUAAAGCGCGCGUAGGCGGUUUUUUAAGUCUGAUGUGAAAGCCCACGGCUCAACCGUGGAGGGUCAUUGGAAACUGGAAAACUGGAGUGCGGAAGAGGAAAGUGGAAUUCCAUGUGUAGCGGUGAAAUGCGCAGAGAUAUGGAGGAACACCAGUGGCGAAGGCGACUUUCUGGUCUGAAACUGACGCUGAUGUGCGAAAGCGUGGGGAUCAAACAGG
rnacentral:rRNA from 1 species